rnacentral:rRNA from 1 species
GUGGGGAAUCUUGCGCAAUGGGCGAAAGCCUGACGCAGUCAUGCCGCGUGAAUGAUGAAGGUCUUAGGAUUGUAAAAUUCUUUCACCGGGGACGAUAAUGACGGUACCCGGAGAAGAAGCCCCGGCUAACUUCGUGCCAGCAGCCGCGGUAAUACGAAGGGGGCUAGCGUUGCUCGGAAUUACUGGGCGUAAAGGGCGCGUAGGCGGACAGUUUAGUCAGAGGUGAAAGCCCAGGGCUCAACCUUGGAAUUGCCUUUGAUACUGGCUGUCUUGAGUACGGGAGAGGUGAGUGGAACUCCGAGUGUAGAGGUGAAAUUCGUAGAUAUUCGGAAGAACACCAGUGGCGAAGGCGACUCACUGGCCCGUUACUGACGCUGAGGCGCGAAAGCGUGGGGAGCAAACAGGAUUAGAAACCCGUGUAGUCC